rnacentral:rRNA from 1 species
UGCCUACGGGGGGCAGCAGUGGGGAAUAUUGCACAAUGGGGGGAACCCUGAUGCAGCAAUGCCGCGUGAAGGAUGAAGGUUUUCGGAUUGUAAACUUCUUUUGUACGGGAGGAAGAAAGUGACGGUACCGUAAGAAUAAGCCACGGCUAACUACGUGCCAGCAGCCGCGGUAAUACGUAGGUGGCAAGCGUUAUCCGGAUUUACUGGGUGUAAAGGGCGAGUAGGCGGGAUUGAAAGUCAGUUGUGAAAGCUAUGGGCUCAACCGGUAAUGUG